rnacentral:rRNA from 1 species
UAGAGUUUGAUCCUGGCUCAGGAUGAACGCUAGCUACAGGCUUAACACAUGCAAGUCGAGGGGCAGCAUGGUCUUAGCUUGCUAAGGCCGAUGGCGACCGGCGCACGGGUGAGUAACACGUAUCCAACCUGCCGUCUACUCUUGGACAGCCUUCUGAAAGGAAGAUUAAUACAAGAUGGCAUCAUGAGUCCGCAUGUUCACAUGAUUAAAGGUAUUCCGGUAGACGAUGGGGAUGCGCUCCAUUAGAUAGUAGGCGGGGUAACGGCCCACCUAGUCUUCGAUGGAUAGGGGUUCUGAGAGGAAGGUCCCCCACAUUGGAACUGAGACACGGUCCAAACUCCUACGGGAGGCAGCAGUGAGGAAUAUUGGUCAAUGGGCGAGAGCCUGAACCAGCCAAGUAGCGUGAAGGAUGACUGCCCUAUGGGUUGUAAACUUCUUUUAUAAAGGAAUAAAGUCGGGUAUGGAUACCCGUUUGCAUGUACUUUAUGAAUAAGGAUCGGCUAACUCCGUGCCAGCAGCCGCGGUAAUACGGAGGAUCCGAGCGUUAUCCGGAUUUAUUGGGUUUAAAGGGAGCGUAGAUGGAUGUUUAAGUCAGUUGUGAAAGUUUGCGGCUCAACCGUAAAAUUGCAGUUGAUACUGGAUAUCUUGAGUGCAGUUGAGGCAGGCGGAAUUCGUGGUGUAGCGGUGAAAUGCUUAGAUAUCACGAAGAACUCCGAUUGCGAAGGCAGCCUGCUAAGCUGCAACUGACAUUGAGGCUCGAAAGUGUGGGUAUCAAACAGGAUUAGAUACCCUGGUAGUCCACACGGUAAACGAUGAAUACUCGCUGUUUGCGAUAUACAGCAAGCGGCCAAGCGAAAGCGUUAAGUAUUCCACCUGGGGAGUACGCCGGCAACGGUGAAACUCAAAGGAAUUGACGGGGGCCCGCACAAGCGGAGGAACAUGUGGUUUAAUUCGAUGAUACGCGAGGAACCUUACCCGGGCUUAAAUUGCAGAUGAAUUACGGUGAAAGCCGUAAGCCGCAAGGCAUCUGUGAAGGUGCUGCAUGGUUGUCGUCAGCUCGUGCCGUGAGGUGUCGGCUUAAGUGCCAUAACGAGCGCAACCCUUGUUGUCAGUUACUAACAGGUUCCGCUGAGGACUCUGACAAGACUGCCAUCGUAAGAUGUGAGGAAGGUGGGGAUGACGUCAAAUCAGCACGGCCCUUACGUCCGGGGCUACACACGUGUUACAUGGGGGGUACAGAGGGCCGCUACCACGCGAGUGGAUGCCAAUCCCCAAAACCUCUCUCAGUUCGGACUGGAGUCUGCAACCCGACUCCACGAAGCUGGAUUCGCUAGUAAUCGCGCAUCAGCCACGGCGCGGUGAAUACGUUCCCGGGCCUUGCACUCACCGCCCGUCA